rnacentral:lncRNA from 1 species
AUGCACAGUCAUUUUUUUUUUUUUUUUUUUUUUUUUUUUUGUAUAACCGUGAUGCAUAGCUUAUUAUGUCGAAGUCUAUGUUUUAAAAAAAAAACAACACGAUCAUAUUUUAAAAGAAGCAACGAUGUAAUUUCUUCAUUUACAACUAAGCAAUUGUUUUAUUCCACAAGUAGUACAAAUAAACUAAAAAAAUUGAUUUUAGAAUAUUAUUGCGCAAAUAAUGAUGACUUUGUUCAUAAUAGACAAGAACAUGAAAAAACGAUUAAAAAGUAUAUUAACGAGCAUAAUGAGAAAAACACAAAAGGUACAUUAAUGAUAGAGUCUAUGGUAUUAAGUACAAAUGAUCAAAAUAUUAUAUUAAAUAAUAAUAUGAGUGAAAUUAAAAAAUAUGUUGAAAUUAAUUAUGAAAAAAAUGUAGAUAUUAGUAGUCGUUCUAAUAAUGAUAGUAAAUUAAAAAGUUUAUAUGAUACAACUACAUUAAUUCAAAUUUUAUCUGUUUGUGGAAUAAAAGUACCAUUACAUAUAUUAUAUUAUUAUUUAUUAAAUACAAUAUCAGAUUUAAAGUAUUUUUUAAAUUUAUAUAAAAAUAGUAUUAUUAAGUACGAUGAUGAACAAAUAAAACAAAAUAAAACAACUUUUUUAAAAAUAAAUAAAUAUUAUUAUAACGAUGAUAUUAAAGAUUGUUUUUUUUUAUUAUACAAAUCGAUUUCUAAUGUAUUUUUUAGUUUAUGCGAAAAUACAAUGAAAGAGGAUAACGCAGUUAUUGAUGUUACUAUAGCUAGUGAUAGUAGUCUUAGCAAAGAAAGUACAGAUAACACUACAACUAUGCAUAUAGAAGAAGCCGUAAAAGAGUAUCAUAAUAUUAUAAACGACACGUUAACAAUGGCUCCUGCUUUUUUGAACAUAAGUAUAUUAUUUUAUUAUAUAAAUACAUAUUUAUUUAUAAACAGAAGUAAACAAAUGAAAAGUAUUUGUUUAAAUAAACUUAAUGAAUAUAUAAAUGCUAUAUCUGACGACGAAAUACAUAUAACAAAUAAUGAUUUCUUUUAUCUUAUAUUAACAACACGUUUAUAUUUACUUAUUUUUUCAAAUGUUGAUGUACUUAAUGUUUUAAACAAAAGUAGUAAACAUUUUUUGUCAUUAGUGAUAAUGGUACCUAACAAUAAUAUUCAAUUAUCAUUGAAUAAACCAAAUGAGAAAUAUAAAUAUAUAGUUGAUUUUUUAAACAUGCAUGAAAAGUAUGUAGAACAUAAAAAAGUCAAUAUAUACCCUUUUACUUUUUCUUUGGUUUCAUUAAAAAAUAAAAUUAUUUAUAUAUUUGAAAAAAGUGAUGAUUUUUAUCUGAACAAUGUUAAAACAUUACGUUCAUAUACUUUCUGGAAAUAUUUUAUAGCGACGAAAAUGGAUUUCCAAUUGCUGACUAUAUGUACGAAAAACGAGUAUAAUGAUUUAUUUUCAAAAGAUAAAGGACAUGAUAUUUUGCUGAAAUAUACGAACAAAGAUUACACAUAUAAAUUUUAUGACAAAAAACAAAUACCUGCACUGUAAAAAUCUGUUUAUACACACGUACUUUCAUACAUACGUACCUUUAUACAUACAUACAUACACACACACAUAAUAUAUGUAUGUGCAUAACAAAAAAAUGUAUCAUUAUUACUUUUUUUUUUUUUUUUUUUUUUUUUUAUAUUUAAUGGCAUUUUUGAAAUUAUACAUUAAUGCGUAGUCAAUAAACGCUUCUUAUUUUAUUGCUAAUUAGUAUAU